rnacentral:rRNA from 1 species
UACGUAGGGAGCAAGCGUUGUUCGGAUUUACUGGGCGUAAAGGGCGCGUAGGCGGCGCGGUAAGUCACUUGCGAAAUCUCUGAGCUUAACUCAGAACGGCCAAGUGAUACUGCAGUGCUAGAGUGCAGAAGGGGCAAUCGGAAUUCUUGGUGUAGCGGUGAAAUGCGUAGAUAUCAAGAGGAACACCUGAGGUGAAGACGGGUUGCUGGGCUGACACUGACGCUGAGGUGCGAAAGCGUGGGGAGCAAACAGG